AUGCCGCCCUUCAGCCUGCUGUGCGUGUUCAUGACCUUCAGCUACUCUGGAUCCAGUGUGGCCCAGAAAGUUAUUCAAACCCCUCCAGCCACAUCCAUGACAGAAGGGGAGGCAGUCACCAUGAACUGCAUAUAUGAAACCAACUUCACCUCAUACUACAUUUUCUGGUAUAAGCAACUUCCCGGCGAAGAGGUCAUUUUUCUUCUUCGACAGAGUUCUAGUGCUGUGAAUGCAAGCAAUGAUCACUAUUUAGUCAACUUCCAAAAAGAAGUUAAAUCCAUGAACUUCAGCAUCUCAGUCCUAAGCCUGGAAGACGCUGCAAAGUACUUCUGUGCUCUCACAUUACUCACGGUGUUUGAAGUAAUAGUAGAGGCAAAGCAAAAACCCCAGAGCUCAGGGAGAGAAAGCACCCCUUGUGCUACAGAAGCCAGGCUGAAAUGCACAUCUGCAGAUCCCAGAGAACAAAAGGCAGUGACUGUGGUCUCUGGACUUAAUCUGUGA